CCUACGGGGGGCAGCAGUGGGGAAUAUUGGGCAAUGGAGGCAACUCUGACCCAGCAACGCCGUGUGAAUGAUGAAGGUCUUCGGAUUGUAAAGUUCUUUUCUAAGGGAAGAAGAAAGUGACGGUACCUUAGGAAUAAGCCUCGGCUAACUACGUGCCAGCAGCCGCGGUAAUACGGAGGGUGCAAGCGUUACUCGGAAUCACUGGGCGUAAAGAGCGCGUAGGCGGGAUAGCAAGUCAGAUGUGAAAUCCUAUGGCUUAACCAUAGAACUGCAUUUGAAACUGUUAUUCUAGAGUAUGGGAGAGG
rnacentral:rRNA from 1 species